GGACCCGCACAAGCGGUGGAGCAUGUGGUUUAAUUCGAUGCAACGCGAAGAACCUUACCUGGUCUUGACAUCCUGCGAACUUUCUAGAAAUAGAUUGGUGCCUUCGGGAACGCAGUGACAGGUGCUGCAUGGCUGUCGUCAGCUCGUGUCGUGAGAUGUUGGGUUAAGUCCCGUAACGAGCGCAACCCCUAUCCUUAUUUGCCAGCACAUCAUGGUGGGAACUAUAAGGAGACUGCCGGUGAUAAACCGGAGGAAGGCGGGGACGACGUCAAGUCAUCAUGGCCCUUACGACCAGGGCUACACACGUGCUACAAUGGGAAGGACAAAGAGCCGCGAAGCCGCGAGGUGUAGCUAA
rnacentral:rRNA from 1 species